rnacentral:rRNA from 1 species
AAUAGACUACCCGGGUAGUCCACGCCGUAAACGGUGGGCACUAGGUGUGGGCAGCAUUCCACGUUGUCCGUGCUGUAGCUAACGCAUUAAGUGUCCCGCCUGGGGAGUACGGCCGCAAGGCUAAAACUCAAAGGAAUUGACGGGUCCCCGCACAAGCGGCGGAGCAUGCGGCUUAAUUCGAUGCAACCCGAAGAACCUUACCUGGGUUUGACAUCAUGGGAAAAGCCGUGGAAACACGGUGUCCGUAAGGGCCCAUGACAGGUGGUGCAUGGCUGUCGUCAGCUCGUGUCGUGAGAUGUUGGGUUAAGUCCCGCAACGAGCGCAACCCUUGUCCUAUGUUGCCAGCGGUUCGGCCGGGGACUCAUAGGAGACUGCCGGGGAUAACUCGGAGGAAGGUGAGGACGAUGUCAAGUCAUCAUGCCCCUUAUAUCCAGGGCUGCACGCAUGCUACAAUGGUCGGUACAACGGGCAGCGAUCCUGCGAAGGUGAGCGAAUCCCACAAAGCCGGCCUCAGUUCGGA